rnacentral:rRNA from 1 species
GUGUCAGCAGCCGCGGUAAAACGUAGGAGCCAAGCGUUAUCCGAAUUCACUGGGCGUAAAGCGCGAGCAGGCGGCCUGGUAAGUUGGAUGUGAAAUCUCCCGGCUCAACUGGGAGAGGACGUACAAGACUGCCCGGCUAGAGGACGGUAGAGGGAGGUGGAAUUCCCGGUGUAGUGGUGAAAUGCGUAGAUAUCGGGAGGAACACCAGUGGCGAAGGCGGCCUCCUGGGCCGUUCCUGACGCUGAGAUGCGAAAGCUAGGGGAGCGAACGGGAUUAGAAACCCCUGUAGUCC